ACUUAUUCAUCGUGUACACCACGACCACCCUGUCUGGUUUCUUCCUCGCCGGGAUGUCCAUCGACCGGUUAACAGCAGUGAGAUUCCCCAUGCACGCACCAACACUGUGCACAGUUAAGAGGGCGAAGUGGUUCAUCAUUAUCUCAACUUUGAUGAUAACUGGGCUGAACACACAUGUCUUUUUUGUUAUAGACACUUUUAGGGACAACGAGCUAGGAAUUAAUGCAGCCGUCAACAAGGUACCAAACCACCCCGAGUUCGAGUUACUAGCUACAGCGUUCCAAGUUCUCGUUGGAACUGCCCUGCCUUUUAUCACCAUAUUCGCAUGCAACUUAAUCAUAAUCAAUACGCUUAGGCAGGCAUCUUCAGAAAGGAAGAAGAUGGGUUCUGAGGAGAACAAACGACUUGAAAAGAACACUCAGUAUCUGACAAGAAUGCUGAUUUUUGUCAGUUUUGCUUACGUUCUUCUCACUCUGCCGUACAGACUGUACCACUUGCUGUUGAAGAUACCAGAACUUAGCUACGACCUGACGAAUGUUUACACAAGGCAGCGAUAUGUGGCACAGGCUUGGGCAUUGGCUGCUGUUUGGGAACUGAACAACGCCGUCAACUUUUUUCUAUACUGUAUCGGGGGAGGUCGCAAGUAUAGAAGGGAAACUUUGGAGAUUUUGAGAAGACUGUGCUACACUAUAGGAUGAAUAUACUUGUUUUUCUUAAAUGAUGCCUCACCGCUUAAACUCGGGUAAUUAUAAAUCAGCAAUUCUCUAUGGCAGCAGUGGCCACCUAUUCAGAAAAGGAAAAGCGAUACUUCGGCGAUUAGGUCGACCUGUCGAUGAGAAAGUGAACAGUGUCGGGCUUGAAAACCUGUUCCUUUUCAGUAACGCCCUAUCCUUGCAUCUUGAGCCUCAAUGUAUUGACAUUGCUAAGCUUUACAGGCAACGCGCGUCCAAUAUUGGCGGCGGUAACGCAGGCAAUACCGCUGAAAUUUCAGUAUGUUUCCUUGAUAUUUCUAUAUCUUGCAUCAAACCAAUGCAAGAAACUAUAGGUCGACGUAAUGCGUACAGACGUACUUGCACGAGUGUUAUCUGCCGAAGCCGAAAUCAAUGCGUGGGUUUUUUAAUGAGACAAAAACCGUACCAAAUUGCUAAGCAUUUUAUGAUAAGGAUGAGGGUGACAGGGCGCCAAAUUCCAAAUCGAUGGCCAACUACGGUUUCAGUUGUUGAACCUAGUUUAAACCAUGCAAUACAAAUAUGUAGAGAAAUGGCAUGAGCAGUCCAAUUAUAGUAUAACAAUAUAAGUAGGGUGACAUAUCAUAUUCUGUGCGGCUGACUUUCAUCUAUCACAUGUAUGAUUAGACCGAGAGGAUUUUAGUUCUAUUCCUCUACCAUGCUCGAGGGCACGGUUGGACCGGAGGAACCAGCUAACUAUACGGGCGAAUGGAGAAGCGAAUUCAAGCCGUCGUUGGACUUGUUCUCGCUGUUCGCCGCGGCCGCAAUACCCCUGAUCUUUGGCGUCCCGGGGAACAUCCUGGCGUUCCUUGUAGCAUGCCAGAAACAGAACCGAAAGCUUUCUCCAAGCAUCUACAUGGCAGCGAUGGCGGUGGUUGAUAAUUUGUUUCUUCUCGAUGUUGGAAUUGCCGUACUGUGGAACAAGUGGCUGAGCGACUCGAGGUAUCUUAAAUAUGUCAUAAGGGGUCAUCUGUUCAUCAUCUACACCACGAGCACCCUGUCUGGUUUCUUCCUCGCCGGGAUGUCCAUCGACCGGUUAACAGCAGUGAGAUUCUCAAUGCAAGCACCAACACUGUGUACAGUCGAGAGGGCGAAAUGGUUCAUCAUUAUCUCAACUUUGAUUACAGCAGGACUCAAUAUCCACGUGUUCUUUGCUAUACAGCAUUUCAGAGACUUGGAGCUAGGAAUCAAUGCAGCUGUGUUCAGAGUAGACAACCAUCCCGAGUAUGAGCUUCUCGCUACCUCAUUCCAAGUUCUUGUCGGCACUGUUCUGCCUUUCAUUGUCAUCUUUGGAUGCAAUAUCCUAAUCAUAAGCUCGCUAAGACAGGCAUCUUUAGACCGGAACAAAAUGGGCUCAGAGAAGAACCAACAACUAGAAAAGAACACGCACUAUUUAACGCGAAUGCUCAUUUUUGUCAGUUUUGCCUUCGUUAUUUUUACUCUCCCGUACAGGCUCUGCCAUCUAAUUCAGAUGAUUCCGCAACUUGGCUAUGACCUGAGCAAGGUUUAUGAAAGGGAACGGUAUGUGACGAUGGUCUGGUCACUUGCAAUUGCUUGGGAACUCAACUACGCCGUCAACUUUUUCCUUUACUGUAUCGGUGGAGGUCAGAGGUAUAGAAACGACACUUUGGAAAUUUUGCAAAAACUGCGCUGUACAUGAUGAAAUAUUGACGUUCCUUUAGGUUACCAAAGCGGGGUUGUGGACUUAUUCAGAACAAGUCAGUCUCGUGCCAAUCACAUCCCUGUCCUGCCACAGAUACGCAUCAUACUGUAUCGGGGGAGGUCGCAAGUAUAGAAGGGAAACUUUGGAGAUUUUGAGAAGACUGUGCUACACUAUAGGAUGAAUAUACUUGUUUUUCUUAAAUGAUGCCUCACCGCUUAAAUUCGGGUAAUUGUAACUCAGUAAUUCUCUAUGGCAGCAGUGGCUACCUAUUCAGAAAAGGAAAAGCGAUACUUCGGAGAUUAGGUCGACCUGUCGAUGAGAGAGUGAACAGUGUCGGGCUUGAAAACCUGUUCCUUUUGAGUAACGCCCUAUCCUUGCAUCUUGAGCCUCAAUGUAUUGACAUUGCUAAGCUUUACAGGCAACGCGCGUCCAAUAUUGGCGGCGGUAACGCAGGCAAUACCGCUGAAAAUUCAGUAUGUUUCCUUGAUAUUUCUAUAUCUUGCAUCAAACCAAUGCAAGAAACUAUAGGUCGACGUAAUGCGUACAGACGUACCGGCACGAGUAUUAAUGAGACAAAAACCAUACCAAAUCGAUGGCCAACUACGGUUUCAGUUGAUGAACCUAGUUUAAACCUUGCGAUAAAAAUAUCGAGAGAAUUUAUGGCAUGAGCAGUCCAAUUAUAGCAGUCCAAGUAUAGUAUAACAAUAUAAAUAAGGCGACAUAUCAUAUUCUUUCCGGCUGACUUUCAUCUAUCACAUGUAUGAUUAGACCGAGAGGAUUUUAGUUCUAUUCCUCUACCAUGCUCGAGGGCACGGUUGGACCGGAGGAACCAGCUAACUAUACGGGCGAAUGGAGAAGCAAAUUCAAGCCGUCGUUGGACUUGUUCUCGCUGUCCGCCGCAUCCGCAAUACCCCUGAUCUUUGGCGUCCCGGGGAACAUCCUGGCGUUCCUUGUAGCAUGCCAGAAACAGAACCGAAAGCUUUCUCCAAGCAUCUACAUGGCAGCGAUGGCGGUGGUUGAUAAUUUGUUUCUUCUCGAUGUUGGAAUUGCCGUACUGUGGAACAAGUGGCUGAGCGACUCGAGGUAUCUUAAAUAUGUCAUAAGGGGUCAUCUGUUCAUCAUCUACACCACGACUACCCUGUCUGGUUUCUUCCUCGCCGGGAUGUCCAUCGACCGUUUAACAGCAGUGAGAUUCUCAAUGCAAGCACGAACACUGUGCACAGUCGAGAGGGCGAAAUGGUUCAUCAUUAUCUCAACUUUGAUUACAGCAGGACUCAAUAUCCACGUGUUCUUUGCUAUACAGCAUUUCAGAGACUUGGAGCUAGGAAUCAAUGCAGCUGUGUUCAGAGUAGACAACCAUCCUGAGUAUGAGCUUCUCGCUACCUCAUUCCAAGUUCUUGUCGGCACUGUUCUGCCUUUCAUUGUCAUCUUUGGAUGCAACAUCCUUAUCAUAAGCUCGCUAAGACAAGCAUCUUUAGACUGGAACAAAAUGGGCUCAGCGAAGAACCAACAACUAGAAAAGAACACGCACUAUUUAACGCGAAUGCUCAUUUUUGUCAGUUUUGCCUUCGUUAUUUUUACUCUCCCGUACAGGCUCUGCCAUCUAAUUCAGAUGAUUCCGCAACUUGGCUAUGACCUGAGCAAGGUUUAUGAAAGGGAACGGUAUGUGACGAUGGUCUGGUCACUUGCAAUUGCUUGGGAACUCAAUUACGCCGUCAACUUUUUCCUUUACUGUAUCGGUGGAGGUCAGAGGUAUAGAAACGACACUUUGGAAAUUUUGCAAAAACUGCGCUGUACAUGAUGAAAUAUUGACGUUCCUUUAGGUUACCAAAGCGGGGUUGUGGACUUAUUCAGAACAAGUCAGUCUCGUGCCAAUCACAUCCCUGUCCUGCCACAGCUACGCAUCAUACUGUAUCGGGGGAGGUCGCAAGUAUAGAAGGGAAACUUUGGAGAUUUUGAGAAGACUGUGCUACACUAUGGGAUGAAUAUACUUGUUUUUCUUAAAUGAUGCCUCACCGCUUUAACUCGGGUAAUUGAAACUCAACAAUUCUCUAUGGCAGCAGUGGCUACCUAUUCAGAAAAGGAAAAGCGAUACUUCGGAGAUUAGGUCGACCUGUCGAUGAGAAAGUGAACAGUGUCGGGCUUGAAAACCUGUUCCUUUUCAGUAACGCCCUAUCCUUGCAUCCUGAGCCUCAAUGUAUUGACAUUGCUAAGCUUUACAGGCAACGCGCGUCCAAUAUUGGCGGCGGUAACGCAGGCAAUACCGCUGAAAAUUCAGUAUGUUUCCUUGAUAUUUCUAUAUCUCGCAUCAAACCAAUGCAAGAAACUAUAGGUCGACGUAAUGCGUACAAACGUACCGGCACGAGUAUUAAUGAGACAAAAACCAUACCAAAUCG